rnacentral:misc_RNA from 1 species
UUCUUCUUCUUCUUCUUCUCUCGAAGACGAGCUCUCUUUGGAUCUCAUCCAUGGAUCAGAAGCUUUUCUCCAAAGUCUUAACACGCUAUGCUAUAGCUGGCCGAUCUUACCACACGAAUCGGUUGAAAAAGGCGACUCUAUAUGCGAAAAUUAGUCCACUGGGCGAUCCUAGCAUCAGCGUGGAGCCGGAGCUCGACGGUUGGGUUCAGGAGGGGAAG